UAGAUAUAUCCUAAGUAGAACUUCUUUUAAUUUGAUCAACUUUAUAAAAAAAGUGUUAAUAUCAACAACAUCAAAUAUAUAUGGUAUAAAAAUAUAUGUUAUGAUGAAUCUAAUCAAGCUAAUUUGAUGUUGUAGACAUUGGUAUAUUUUUCUACAAACUUGGUCAAACUUAAAAUAGUUUGACUUAGGACAAAUCUAA
rnacentral:pre_miRNA from 1 species